UUUUUCGGUGAUUGGAUGGCGAGCACUUGUGUUGUGUAAACUGCUUAGAAACCCCCUAAUUGUCAAUCUAAAUAGGAAAGCCAUCCAUCCUCUGAAUGCUCUAGGUCUCUAGUUUGUGGCUGCAAAGUGACAUGAGG